GUCUAGGACCUCUGGGUGGUCGUGCUGAUCCCGGACGAGCCCCCAAAUGAAAGACCCCCCGAAGGGAGACCCUCACUCAAGCCUCGGGGACAGCCGCGGAUCCCAAGAAGACACUGAGACCG
rnacentral:pre_miRNA from 7 species